rnacentral:rRNA from 1 species
GUGGGGAAUAUUGGACAAUGGGCGAAAGCCUGAUCCAGCCAUGCCGCGUGUGUGAAGAAGGUCUUCGGAUUGUAAAGCACUUUAAGUUGGGAGGAAGAGUAGUAACCUAAUACGUUGCUACUUUGACGUUACCGACAGAAUAAGCACCGGCUAACUUCGUGCCAGCAGCCGCGGUAAUACGAAGGGUGCAAGCGUUAAUCGGAAUUACUGGGCGUAAAGCGCGCGUAGGUGGUUCAGUAAGUUGGAAGUGAAAUCCCCGGGCUCAACCUGGGAACUGCUUUCAAAACUGCUGAGCUAGAGUACGGUAGAGGGUGGUGGAAUUUCCUGUGUAGCGGUGAAAUGCGUAGAUAUAGGAAGGAACACCAGUGGCGAAGGCGACCACCUGGACUGAUACUGACACUGAGGUGCGAAAGCGUGGGGAGCAAACAGGAUUAGAAACCCCUGUAGUCC